UCUGAUUGGCUCUCAAGAGACUGCGUCUGAAACGUGAUGAAGUUUACGUUGACCGAGUAUGAAGAGAGAACCCGAAAAAGUAACACGGGAAAAACACGGGAAAAUGACGGAGGAAAAGAGCAACACUACGUUCAGUGAAGGAGCAGACCCUGAGCUGAGGAGAUGCGACUUGGACACUUAUCAGUGUCCGAUAUGCACAAAAAAGGGGACCUACGCAAAGCUUGUGUCCCAUCUGCAGGGACACCAAAAGACAAUGGUGGAGUACGGUGGAUACAGAGUAUACAGAUGCCACCUUGACUGUGUGAAAAGCAACCACUACCACUGUUGGUUUUGCAAAACAAUCAUUGCGACCAAACAAUAUUUUAUUAAGCAUUUCAUAACCUGCUGCAAGACAGCAUCCACAGCAACACCACAAUCCACAGUGACCCCAGCAGCCACAGUGACCCCAGCAGCCACAGCGACCCCAGCAGCCACGGUCACUCCACCAUCCACGGUCACUCCACCAUCCACAGCUACCCCAGCAGCCACAGUGACCCCAGCAGCCACAGCUACUCCAGCAGCCACAGUGACCCCAGCAGCCCCAGCAGCAGCCCAUCAAAAAAAAAUAUUGUUGGCAAAGCACUCUAAAACAACAUGCUGUUUUUGUAGCAAAACAGUGCUUCGAAAAAACCUCAAAACACACAUUGAAAGGCAACACAAGGUGAAAUCAUUGGACAUAGUUUAGGAAACUGUUAAUCCAAUUUUCAGUUUAUAUCUUAUUAUGUAUUUGAGUGUCUUUAACGACUUCAUUAUUUUGCUAUAUCAUUUUGUCUUGUCAGCGAGAUAACCCAGCUUGGGGAACAGCUUCAGAGCCACAUUUCCUCAAAAGCGAGGCAGAAACUGGAUAGCUUCCUGAGCAAUUACAGGAAAGCCUUGGAGUGUGAGGAAUUCCUCAGGCGCCUGUAAUCUGUUGAAAAAAAAAAAAAAAAUAAUUCUGUUGUGUAUAAAAUAAAGAAAAUAUAU